CCCGGUGGUUUACUUAACGGCCGCAAUGAAUAGUUGUGCUAAGGUAGCGUAGUAAGUUGCCCUUUAAAUGAGGGAAGGAAUGAAUGGUUUGACGUAGGGGUUUCUGUCUCUUUUUUGAGUAUUGAAAUUUUUAUUUUAGUGAAAAGGCUAAAUUUUUAUAAUUAGACGAGAAGACCCUGUCGAGCUUGAUUAAGUGGAAAAAUGUUUUUUUGUGGAAGUUUAGUUGGGGCAACUGAGGAGCAAAACUAGACUCCUUUAUCAGGAUGAGGAUCCAGAAGUUUUGAUUUAGAGAAAAAGCUACCGCAGGGAUAACAGCGUUAUCUUUUCUGAGAGAACAAAUUGAAGGAAAG
rnacentral:rRNA from 1 species